CCAUAUGUCCGACUGUCUGUCUGUCUGUCUACCUUUCUGUCUCUCUCCCUGAACACUUGGCCUUGGGACCCAAAUACUAUACUGUGAAGAAGCCCAGCCACAUGAAGAGGUCACUGCAGAUGUCCUGGUCAAUAACCCAGCUAAAGUUUCAGCCAACAGCCAGCUUCCACGGACAGAUCUUCUAGUAAAUCCAUAUCCCAGACUUCAAGCCACCCCAGUUAUGUGCCCUUCCAUGAAAAAUCCCUCCGUGUCAAAUGGGAAGCAUAACAGUCUCUCUUGGGAGUCUUGGGGCUUUACUAAAGUGCCCAGCACAUGCCCAGGCCAGCCAGUUCUAUCUAGACAGAUAAAAUCACUAUGAGGCUCCCAGACCAGAGACAUCCUUAUCAGCCACUGUCUGGGGCAUUUGGAAAUGUAAACUCUCCUGCCAACCCUGUGAUGCAAGACCAGCACUGGGAAGACACAAAGCAGACUCAGAGGACAGACCUUCCUCCACUCUCUCAGUCCCCCUGCAACUCUGUGAGCCAGCAGUGAGAGGGGGGACUGCCUCAAGUCCUCUUCCCUGACAUCCAGAUGUGUGCUUUUCCCUUCAAGUUACAUGGAUUUGGAGGGGUCUCAAGCCUGUCUGUCAAUGUCACUUUGGCCAAAGAUGCCCAUGAGAGUGCAGCAUAGAUCCCACCCUACACAGAAAACAAGAGUUGAAUGACACGCAAGCUGAUGUGCCUGUGUGACCCACAACAAGUCCCUUCCCAUGAGUGAGCAUUUACUAUGAGCCAGGCACUGUUCUGAGUGAUCUCCAUGUAUUAACUCAUUUAA